CCACGAUGUUGUUUGCUUCAUUUCCAACUCUUUCCUCACAGAUUUUGGGCUGGGCACGUGGGUUCCUAGAAUUUCCCAAACCAGUGCUCUGCUGUUUGGCUAUUUCCCAAAGCUCCUACCUGCAAGGUGUGUAUUCAAAUCAUCCACACCGACUAUGAGGAAGAAAACAAAUUUUGCCCCUUUGAAGAGCAGUCUUCACCGACCCACAGGUCCACGAAAAAGCCCCCAACUUGAAUUUGUGGAAGUGCGCAAUUGCCACUGUUGCUGUCGCCUAUUACAUCUUAAUCCUAUGGUAGUGUAUCGGUUGCUGUUGAGUUGAGAAAAUGUUGAGGUGUCUUCAUAGGGUGUAGCAGCGAAGCGGCAGAACUCUACAUUUUUCGGAAGUGCUGAAACCAAGAACAACAAGUGCACAACCAGACAACCAGGAGAGAGAAGCCCUUGAAGCUAAAUACCAGAAGGUUUAUGGAUCACUAUACGAUAAGAGGUGUGAAAUUGUAAAUGGUGUUGUAGAAGUUGAAGGAGUUACAAGUGAAGCCACAUGGACCUUGAGGAUGAUAACUCUACAAAAGGUAACUCACUUCUUUGAAAAUUGCUGAAUUCUUCUUCUCUCUUUUGUUGGGAAACGUUUUUUCACACCAUUGGAUCUCAUCUUCACAAGUGACAAAAACUUCCAUUUCUACUCUCUAUGUCCUGAAAUCUGUUUCUCUACAAGUCAAAUGGUUUUGAAAUUAUUUGAUUUCGGUUAUGAAACUGUUUGAUUUCUAUACAAUCUCUUCUCUUCUCUUCAAUGAUUGAAGUGGGUUUUCAAAUGGUCUCUACCCCAGCUACGGGGAAAAAAUGCAUAUUCCAAAAAAUAGAGAACGAGGUGCCAGGUUAGCAUAUCUUGUCAUACUUAUUGGUUCUAUUUGAUUGACAACAGUUACUUUUCUUAGGGAAAUAGACAAUUAGUUUGUUUUACUUGUGGCUUUUGAUUCCUUUGUACAUUUCUUUGUAGGUUUAAGUUUUGUGUAUGAAAUUUAAUUUUGUUUGUAUUGUAUUUUGUGUGUACAUGGAUUCAGCCUUUUUUUGGCAGUUUUGUAAAAAAUCUUGAAGUUUGUAGUUCUCUAGGGGAGUUUGAAAGUAGGGAUGGCAAGCUUAUUAUCCUGUGAUCUGCUUGAUGGUUUACUAAAUUGGUUUUGACUUUUUGGUAUGGACCUUAGGACAUUGGCAUACCAGGUCUUCACCUUAGUGAACUGUUGUCGUUGGCAUUCACUUUUUGAGAAGGAUUAUUUAUAAAGGUUCCAAGUUAUGGGAUAUUUAUGACCUGGAAAAUUAGCAGAUGAAUUGGUUAGUUCCUACAGUUUAAGAAUAUAGUGGUUUGUUUGGGUCUAGGCUUGACCUUUAACUUUAAGUCAUAUGGAACUGGGGGUAUCUUCUUAAUAGAGCCACCACACUAUCAUUCCAUACUUCGACUGAUUUAGAAAAUUAUGGGCUUAUGAAUACAUAUUAAUUACCAACAAAAUAAAUCUUCACAUGAUGAUGUUUUAAAAUAUUAAAAAUGGGAAAAAGAAAUGUUAUCUGGUGUAUUUCAUUACUUUUUAGUUAUCAACUUUUUGGUUUUUAUUUAUUUUGAGUCUGUUAGUUGGUUUUUACUAAUUCAACAUUUAUGUGGUCUAUUUUGGUUAAGCAAUUUGCAAGAUCUUGUUACUGUUAGCUUUCUUUUGUUCAAUUGUUUUGAUCUUGACCAAUCAAGACUGAUGUUAAUUGUUAAUAAUUAUGAGAUGGUGAUUUAAUUCAGUAUCUGUGACUUAUCAUUUAUGAACCCUUUGAUGGUCAUUGUACUUGAUUCUAUCAUUUUAAGGAUUUAAGCUAUAGGGUUAAUUGCUAUUUGAUAAAUAGGCUUGGGAGAGUAUGAUGAGAUAUGCUACGAGGAUCCAAUUUUAAAGGACUGACAGUGGAGUGUUUACAUUGACCGUUCUCCUGGUGUUGCCAGCUACUCAGAGGUUUUUUUUUUUUUUUCAAUCCUUCAACAGUGUUAUUCUCAUGCUCUUUGGAUUUCACAAGACUGUAAUAUGUUUGUUAGGAGAUAUGAUUUGACCCUUUUUCUUUGUCACAAGAGGCUAAAAGUAUUAGACUGGCAUUUUAUAUGACAAUGUUGUAGGAGGCGCUUUAAAUUUUGUUUAGAAUUGCUGAGUGGUUAAGAAUGCGAAAUGUUCUUUGUUUGAAAGAAUUGUUUAAUGAGGUCAGUUUAUUUGAAAGUAUUAGAGGAACACCAAGAUUGUAGAUUCUUGGAAUGUUAUAAACUUGAAAGAAACAACAGUUCUGCUUCUCUAAAUUGUAGCAGUUAAAUAUAAAUGAGCAUUUUGAUAAAAGCACUUCUAAAUGAUAAACGCAUGUUUCUACCCAGCACUGGAGCUCACUAUAUAACUUGCUUGAUUUUCAGAGCUUCCUCUUUAUAGAAACAGGGCACAACUGUUACAUUUGACAGUUAUAUAAACAUUACUGGUUCACUCUAAGACUUUGAAGAUUGACAUUCCUUUGUGUAUGAAAAUAUCAUCAUCAGAAAUGCAUUAUAACAUGCUAAUUCAGCAAAAGUUGGUGAGCAGAAAAGACUUCAUAAAUAUGCUUCGGCUAAUAUUUUACUUCCAACCAAUUAAUGGUUUGCUUGUGAAAAAUAAUACAGAAAAAGAAAAAUUGCUUCUGUAGGAUAAGAUUAUUUCUAUUUAUUCAAAUAUAAAGAAUAUAUUCAGGUUGAAAAUAUUUAUUUUACUAAUUUGGUCUCUAUUGCUCUUUUUUUUGCAUGCGGGAAUGCUUCCAUGCUUGUGUGACUGGCUGUGGUUACAAGUAUGAGAUUCCAUCAGAGAAAGUUGAUAAAGUUCAUCCAAACAGGCCAACUAAGCCUCCUCUAGAAAAGAAACCACCACCACCACCACCUACUGUUAAAGCUAGCCCGCCUUCUGAAUCCAGUACAAGCACUGAAGAUAUACUCGGUGCUUCUACAUAGCGAGAGAGCAUUUACACACAUCAUGUAUACCAUACAAAUUUUGUUGCAGGCCUUUUUUGUUCUUCUUUUAACUUGGCCAAUGCUAAUGUUUUUACAUUGUCUUGCCCAGUUUCUCAAGCUUCAAGUGCGCUAAAAAAAUUGGCCCUUUUUUCUUGAUGAUACUGCAAUUUACAUUGGAUAUUAAUGUGGUGGUUCCAUUUUUCUGAAAAACUCUUCUCUAAUUUGAUAUAAAUCUUUAUUGCAUCUUGUGUGUG